rnacentral:rRNA from 2 species
ACGGGGUGCAGCAGGCGCGAAACCUUUGCAAUGUGCGCAAGCACGACAAGGUUAAUCCGAGUGUUUCCUGCUAAAGGAAUCUUUUGUUAGUCGUAAAACCACUGAUGAAUAAGGGGUGGGCAAGUUCUGGUGUCAGCCGCCGCGGUAAAACCAGCACCUCAAGUGGUCAGGAGGAUUAUUGGGCCUAAAGCAUCCGUAGCCGGCUCUGCAAGUUUUCGGUUAAAUCCAUUUGCUUAACAAAUGGGCUGCCGAAAAUACUACAUAGCUAGGGAGUGGGAGAGGUAGACGGUAUUCGGUAGGAAGGGGUAAAAUCCUUUGAUCUAUUGAGGACCACCUAUGGCGAAGGCAGUCUACCAGAACACGUUCGACGGUGAGGGAUGAAAGCUGGGGGAGCAAACCGGAUUAGAUACCCGGGUAGUCCCAGCUGUAAACGAUGCAGACUCGGUGAUGCACUGGCUUGUGGCCAGUGCAGUGCCGCAGGGAAGCCGUUAAGUUUGCCGCCUGGGAAGUACGUACGCAAGUAUGAAACUUAAAGGAAUCGGCGGGGGAGCAC